ACGUAGGUGGCAAGCGUUGUCCGGAUUUAUUGGGCGUAAAGCGAGCGCAGGCGGUCUUUUAAGUCUGAUGUGAAAGCCCCCGGCUUAACCGGGGAGGGUCAUUGGAAACUGGGAGACUUGAGUGCAGAAGAGGAAAGCGGAAUUCCAUGUGUAGCGGUGAAAUGCGUAGAUAUAUGGAGGAACACCAGUGGCGAAGGCGGCUUUCUGGUCUGUAACUGACGCUGAGGCUCGAAAGCGUGGGGAGCAAACAGG
rnacentral:rRNA from 1 species